rnacentral:lncRNA from 1 species
UCUCUCUUCUAAAACAUUGUCUGUAGAGAGGCAUGAGCAGAAUGACUAGCCAUAUCUGCGUAUAUACAAAUUUGUUUUACUUAAUCAAACUAGCAAGUAGGUAUGAAGUUUCAAGCAAGCCAUGAUUGACUUUUGAAGUAGAAAUCUAGGUUUAUUUGAAUACUGCAAAAUAUUAAGGAUAUCAAUGUGGUAUCGCUUUUCUUAUAAAGGAAUAACAGUAGUAGCAUGC